GGGCGGAACUCCUCGCGCGCGCGCUGGUCGAAGUCCUGCCCGUGGAUGAUUCGCAUCUGCUUCAGGAAGGUGGACUUGCCGCUCUCGCCCGCGCCCAGCAGCAGGAUCUUCACGAGCCGCUUCACGUUUCAUCCCCGAAGCCUGCUGUCACAGUUUGUGCGCCUUAUUAGGAAGCCAUUACCUCCAAAGUUAUUCAAACAGCGAGCGCGAGCCUGGAAGAUUUUGGUACAUUUUCUUAAGGUGGUUUUGUUGACAUCCUGCUCUCCCAAGCCCUGAAAAUAACCAAACGUCAUCAAUCCACCCACCGAGCUCUUGUUGGCAUUUUCAGACCCCUGCAACUCCUCUUACCAACCCCCACCCACACACACACAAUGAGAAGAACUGGCUGGAGUUGACGUUAACUGAGAUGUGCUAGGAGGCGUUGGCUAAUGUCACAUUAAUGUGGAUUCCCUCCGGAACUGCGGCAGGCGAAGCAGAAAUCAGUGGACGUUAGCUGCGGCAGGGUGAGGUCAUGGUGAAAAUCCCCCUAAACUGGACACUGUGAUGCAGACUCUUCCCUACAAGGAAGCAGAUAAGCAAACAGACCCGAGGACUGGCGCAGGCAAACUUUAGGUUUCCUGCCAGGCUACAGAGGAUGUGAUCAGCCAAGGGACUUUCUUCUGUCCUAACAGCAGAUUCAGGCCAGGACACCUGAAAGGGCUGCUAGGAAACGAGCAACCUGAUAGCUGGGCUGGCAGAGACUGCUAGCAAAAACCCCGGAAACCAACUUCUUCAUUCUUAGUGUUUAGUUUCAAGUGGAAAAGCCAUUUUGGUCUGCCUCUGUUUUUGGCAGUAAUGCUCCUUGAUUUGGGCUCCUAUAGCUCAGAAACUACCUAUGUGUUAGGCAGUUGAGGUAAGAGGUCAGCAUUCUGAGAAGCUCAUGAAACAGGUUUAAAUAUUUAAAAAAUCAAUGCUAAUCAAUUACUGUCUGAGCUGGGUUGACGGCUGAGGAUCCUCAUGACUCAGUAAAUUGGCUGCAAUAAACAAUGCCUGUAGUAGGAUUAUCUCCCAGUGUCCUGGCCAAGCUCAUAGAGCAGACAGCUUACAAUAUACUCGUACAUAGUGGGGUAGAAUCAACUCUGGUAUCUGUGGGUUGAUAGAGUCAGAAUCUCUGGGCUGUACCUUCAGGCAAAAUGCUUGGUAAACAGUCUACCCUGGAUGGAAGAUCUAUUGUCUCAACUGGUAUUUGGAAGCCUCUGUCUGCCCCAACCGUGGAAGGACUAACCACUGCCCAGGACAGGAGCCUAUCGUUGGCUGCCAAAUAUGGUUUCUACAUAGACUCCUGAUUCUUGGUGAGAAGCCAGUGAGUUAGGUAGUUAACUGUUUGUUUUUUUUUUAUUUCUGAAAGCAUGUGCAACAUGAUGGAGAGCCAAGGAUGCCUAGGAGGCAGAAAGGUAUUCUUGCCCAGCCAGUUCAUGUUGUGACAGGUAGAACAGCAGAGAAAGCUGUCCAAAGCCCUGCCUGUAAGCUUGUGUUGGAACAAGCUUGGCUCAGUGAUUCUGAAAAAGAGACCUCUUUGAGCCUGGGGUUUGGCUGCAGGAGUCCAACUGCUUCUAACUGUCUGGUAAUUAAGCCACCUUGAAAUUGUAAGUGUAAAAAUGAGUUAGAGGUUUGGUGGUUUCUCAAAGUUAAACAUAUAAUUGCCAUAUGACCCAGAAAUUCUAGAAUUGAAAACAGACAUUCAAAGAAAAAAUUGUACACCUGUGUUCAUGGUAGCAUUUUUCAGAAUAACCAAAGUGUGAGAACAACCUAUCUAUCCAUCAAUGAAUGAAUGGACACAUGUAUAUAGUACAUCCAUGCAAUGAAAUUAUUCAGCCACAAAAAGGAAUGAAGUACUGACACAUGUUACAGCAUGGAUGAACCCUGAAAACACUAUGCUAAGUCAAAGAAGCUAUACCCAAAGGCCACAUAUUGUGAGGUUCCAUUUAUACAAAAUGUCCAAAGUGGACAAACUAUAGAAAUAGCAUAUGAAUAGUUGCCAGGGACUAGAGAAAGGGAAGAAUGGGAAAUGACUGCUUAAUGGGUAUAGGGUUUCCUUUUGGGGUGAUGAAAAUGUUUAGGAACUAGAUAGGGGUGAUGGUUGCAGAACACUGGGAAUGUACUAAAUACUACUGAAUUGUUCACUUUAAAAUGAUCAAAUAAUUAGAUGUGUGACUUUUAUCACAAUAAAAAAGGGGUAGAGAAAAUAAUA